AUUUCACUGCAAAAGUUGGUGGGUGCACUAGGAAGACCAUCUGCGACUCAUUUCCAUUUAGAAAUGCAUUGUGACUACGUGUUGUGGAAUGUCGUACUAUUUGUCGUUAUGGUUGCCACAAGUACAGGU